rnacentral:rRNA from 1 species
UACAGAGGUCUCGAGCGUUGUUCGGAUUCAUUGGGCGUAAAGGGCGCGUAGGCGGCGGGGUAAGUCUGGUGUGAAAUCUCGGAGCUCAACUCCGAAAUUGCACUGGAUACUGCUCUGCUAGAGGGCUGGAGAGGAGAUCGGAAUUCACGGUGUAGCAGUGAAAUGCGUAGAUAUCGUGAGGAAGACCAGUGGCGAAGGCGGAUCUCUGGACAGCUCCUGACGCUGAGGCGCGAAAGCGUGGGGAGCAAAAGGG